GGAUGUGCAUGAAGAUAUCAUUUUUUUACACAGUUAUCCCUGUCUGAUUAACCUUGAUGUGUACAUGUGAUCUGACUCAUAC